rnacentral:rRNA from 1 species
AUAGAUAGUCGGGCUUNAUUGGGAAACAAUAACAUGGUUAAUGUGCUCGUUCUGGGUAAAUAGAGUCUAUCAUUUUAUGGUAGUUUCUUGUCCCCCGGAUAGUUUAGUUACGUAGCCAAUUGUGGAACUUUCUUGCUAAAAUUUUUAAGAAUACUAGUCGGGCAACCGAUUAGUUCUUUUAAAUUAUAACGAUUAUCAAUUAACAAUCAAUUCAGAACUGGCACGGACUUGGGGAAUCCGACUGUCUAAUUAAAACAAAGCAUUGUGAUGGCCCUAGCGGGUGUUGACACAAUGUGAUUUCUGCCCAGUGCUCUGAAUGUCAAAGUGAAGAAAUUCAAGUAAGCGCGGGUCAACGGCGGGAGUAACUAUGACUCUCUUAAGGUAGCCAAAUGCCUCGUCAUCUAAUUAGUGACGCGCAUGAAUGGAUUAACGAGAUUCCUACUGUCCCUAUCUACUAUCUAGCGAAACCACAGCCAAGGGAACGGGCUUGGAAUAAUUAGCGGGGAAAGAAGACCCUUUUGAGCUUGACUCUAAUCUGGCAGUGUAAGGAGACAUAAGAGGUGUAGAAUAAGUGGGAGAUAUUAGGCUUCUGUUUGAUAUCGCCAAUGAAAUACCACUACUCUUAUUGUUUCCUUACUUACUUGAUUAAGUGGAACGUGUAUCAUUUCCUAGCCAUUAUACGGAUAUAUUAAUUAUGUCUUAUGGUAUUGGGUUUUGAUGCAAGCUUCUUGAUCAAAGUAUCACGAGUUUGUUAUAUAAUCGCAAACAAAUUCUUUAAUGAGAAAAUGCAUUUAUGUGUUUUUGAUUUAAUAAUUUGGUAUAACUCCAAUUACUCAGGUAUGAUCCAAUUCAAGGACAUUGSSWGGUAGGUAGUUUGACUGGGGCGGUACAUCUCUCAAAUAAUAACGGAGGUGUCCCAAGGCCAGCUCAGUGCGGACAGAAACCACACAUAGAGCAAAAGGGCAAAUGCUGACUUGAUCUCGGUGUUCAGUACACACAGGGACAGCAAAAGCUCGGCCUAUCGAUCCUUUUGGUUUAAAGAGUUUUUAACAAGAGGUGUCAGAAAAGUUACCAUAGGGAUAACUGGCUUGUGGCGGCCAAGCGUUCAUAGCGACGUCGCUUUUUGAUCCUUCGAUGUCGGCUCUUCCUAUCAUUGUGAAGCAAAAUUCACCAAGCGUUGGAUUGUUCACCCAUGCAAGGGAACGUGAGCUGGGUUUAGACCGUCGUGAGACAGGUUAGUUUUACCCUACUAAUGACAAAACGUUGUUGCGACAGCAUUCCUGCGUAGUACGAGAGGAACCGCAGGUACGGACCAAUGGCACAAUACUUGUUCGAGCGAACAGUGGUAUGACGCUACGUCCGUUGGAUUAUGCCUGAACGCCUCUAAGGUCGUAUCCGUGCUGGACUGCAAUGAUAAAUAAGGGGCAAUUUGCAUUGUAUGGCUUCUAAACCAUUAAAAGUCAAUAAUUCAUUUUAUUGACGACAAUGGAUGUGAUGCCAAUGUUAUAUAUAACAUAGUAAAUUGGGAGGAUCUUCGAUCACCUGAUGCCGCGCUAGUUAUAUUUUAAAACAUUAUUUAAUACAAUGACAAAGCCUGGAAUCAAUUGUAAACNACUUUUGUAACAGGCAAGGUGUUGUAAGUGGUUGAGCAGCUGCCAUACUGCGAUCCACUGAAGCUUAUCCUUUGCUUGAUGAUUCGA